rnacentral:pre_miRNA from 1 species
ACUCUAGUGUAAGUAUAUCCCAUGCAAUAUUUGGGAUAUGCUUAUACUAAAA